rnacentral:misc_RNA from 1 species
GAUGAAGAACGUAGUGAAAUGCGAUAAGUAAUGUGAAUUGCAGAAUUCAGUGAAUCAUCGAGUCUUUGAACGCACAUUGCGCCCCCUGGUAUUCCGGGGGGCAUGCCUGUCCGAGCGUCAUUGCCGCCCUCAAGCACGGCUUGUGUGUUGGGCCCCCGCCCCCCGGCUUCGGGGGGCGGGCCCGAAAGGCAGCGGCGGCACCGCGUCCGGUCCUCGAGCGUAUGGGGCUUCGUCACCCGCUCUGUAGGCCCGGCCGGCGCCCGCCGGCGACCCCAAUAAUCUUUCCAGGUUGACCUCGGAUCAGGUAGGGAUACCCGCUGAACUUAAGCAUAUCAAUAAGCGGAGGA